rnacentral:rRNA from 1 species
UGGGGAAUUUUGGACAAUGGGCGAAAGCCUGAUCCAGCGACGCCGCGUGGAGGAUGAAGGUCUUCGGAUUGUAAACUCCUUUUAGAGGGGAAGAAAUUAUGACGGUACCCUCAGAAAAAGCCACGGCUAACUACGUGCCAGCAGCCGCGGUAAUACGUAGGUGGCAAGCGUUACUCGGAUUUACUAGGUGUAAAGCGCAUGUAGGCGGUUGGAUAAGUCUAUGGUAAAAUUUCCCGGCUCAACUGGGAAAAGCACAUAGAUACUGUCCGGCUUGAGUGUGGGAGGGGUGGACGGAAUUCCUGGUGUAGCGGUGAAAUGCGUAGAUAUCAGGAGGAACACCGAUGGCGAAAGCGGUCCACUGGCCCAAUACUGACGCUCAGAUGCGAAAGCUAGGGUAGCAAACAGG